UGAUGAUGUAUAUUUAAUUUCUAAAGUAUGAAGUUCUUCAGUAAAAUUGGUUUUGCUGUUGAAGAGCACCUAAUGACAGGGGAAAAUGUAUUGAAGAUGAUGGAAUCAUCCCUAGCUAAAAGGGCAAUGCAAAUUAUGAUGCUACAAAGUUUAUUGAGCUUGCUUCUUCAAAGUGUGUUCUGUUUGAGGCUAGAGAACAACCUGAUAUCAAGUUUCUUCUAAUUGAUGUUACACCCCCUACAAAAGUAGAAAGAGGUUUUUAUUUUUUGCUUUAGCUUUUAAUUUUGACCUUCAAUUGUAAUAUGCUGUCCUUUUUCUCCAUUGCAUUUGUUUACUCCUCUCUUUUUAGUUUUUAUAGGUAGCAUCAUAUUUGUUAAUGGGCCUCACAUAAAUACAUUUGUUAAUGGGAAAAGAAUAUGAUAUGUAGUAAUAUCUUAUUAAUAAUUUCAUUGUUAUUUUAGAAUUAUCUUACAUUUAUUUUAAGAAUACUAAUUUAUCAUUCUAUAGUUUUAUGUUACUAGGAAUUUCGAAAAAAAAAAUGAAGAAAAAGCUGAAAGAGAUCAGAGAUGAUGUGGCUGCAGUUUUCACAGACCAAGGAGUGCCAUUUUUGUUGUGUCUAAGAUGAAUUUUGAUUUUUGAAGAUCAAUGUUAUUUUUAUGUUCAGAUAUGUUCUCUUUUUACUUUUAAACAUGUAAUUCCAAAGCCAUGAGUUCAUGAAUGUGUUUGACUAUGC
rnacentral:lncRNA from 1 species